rnacentral:ncRNA from 1 species
UCCCUGCUUUUCCUCCCUGAGCAGGUGCCUUACGUGAUGACAGCGUCAAGGCUUCACAGCCCCGGCUUGUGCCGGGGCUCUUUUUU